rnacentral:rRNA from 1 species
UACAGAGGUCCCGAGCGUUGUUCGGAUUCACUGGGCGUAAAGGGUGCGUAGGUGGCGAUGAAAGUUCGAUGUGAAAUCUCCGGGCUUAACCCGGAAAAGGCAUUGAAACUAUGUUGCUUGAGGUUUGGAGGGGGGACUGGAAUUCUUGGUGUAGCAGUGAAAUGCGUAGAUAUCAAGAGGAACACCAGUGGCGAAGGCGGGUCCCUGGACAACACCUGACACUGAGGCACGAAAGCUAGGGGAGCAAACGGG